CUACGGGCUGCACCAGUGAGGAAUAUUGCACAAUGGGGGAAACCCUGAUGCAGCAACGCCGCGUGGAGGAUGACGCAUUUCGGUGUGUAAACUCCUUUUAUGAGUCAAGAAAAUGACGGUAGCUCAUGAAUAAGCACCGGCUAACUCCGUGCCAGCAGCCGCGGUAAUACGGAGGGUGCAAGCGUUACUCGGAAUCACUGGGCGUAAAGGACGCGUAGGCGGGAUGUCAAGUCAGGUGUGAAAUCCUAUGGCUCAACCAUAGAACUGCACUUGAAACUGGCAACCUAGAGUAUGGGAGGGGGAGAUGGAAUUAGUGGUGUAGGGGUAAAAUCCGUAGAUAUCACUAGGAAUACCGAAAGCGAAGGCGAUCUCCUGGAACAUUACUGACGCUAAGGCGUGAAAGCGUGGGGAGCAAACAGGAUUAGAUACCCGUGUAGUC
rnacentral:rRNA from 1 species